AUUGAACGCUGGCGGAAUGCUUUACACAUGCAAGUCGAACGGCAGCACGGACUUCGGUCUGGUGGCGAGUGGCGAACGGGUGAGUAAUGUAUCGGAACGUGCCCAGUCGUGGGGGAUAACGUAGUGAAAAUUACGCUAAUACCGCAUACGAUCUAUGGAUGAAAGCGGGGGAUCGCAAGACCUCGCGCGAUUGGAGCGGCCGAUAUCAGAUUAGGUAGUUGGUGGGGUAAAGGCCCACCAAGCCAACGAUCUGUAGCUGGUCUGAGAGGACGACCAGCCACACUGGAACUGAAACACGGUCCAGACUCCUACGGGAGGCAGCAGUGGGGAAUUUUGGACAAUGGGCGAAAGCCUGAUCCAGCCAUUCCGCGUGCAGGAUGAAGGCCCUCGGGUUGUAAACUGCUUUUGUACAGAACGAAAAGGUUUCUACUAAUACUAGGAGCUCAUGACGGCACUGUAAGAAUAAGCACCGGCUAACUACGUGCCAGCCGCCGCAGUAA
rnacentral:rRNA from 1 species